CGGAUAGCUCAGUCGGUAGAGCAUCAGACUUUUAAUCUGAGGGUCCGGGGUUCAAGUCCCUGUUCGGGCGGAUGCUGUUUUAGUUUCCAAUAAAAUGGAUUUGGGCGAGGCUGAGAGAAAGGAACGUUAUGUGAAACCCGCUUGGGGUGCCUCCUCCUUGAGGGAAACCAGAACUUGCUAGUGGGUUCUUACCGGAAGAAGUGAAACGUGUGGAAAAUGCCAAGAAACUUUAUCUUCCAAUAGCAGGCUUUUCUUUUCCAACCUUUAUACGUUGCUUUGUCUUAGGAUAUUUUUUCUUUUAAAUUGUAUUUUAUAUUCAAAACAGAUCAAUAAACACAUCGUCAGAGUCACAAUUAGUAAUAUUCUUGGCAAGAAUUGUGCAGCUUUUGGC
rnacentral:tRNA from 10 species